rnacentral:rRNA from 1 species
ACCCUUAAGCCCCUGUUGCUUAGCGUUGGGAGUCUACGGCUGCGGCGUAGUUCCCGAAAGUCAGUGGCGGAGUUGGGGCACACCCUCGGCGUAGUAAGUUUUCCCUCGCCUGCGUGGUGGCCCCGGCUGCUGGCCGUUAAACGACCCUUAUAUCUUUCUAGUGGUUGGCCUCGAAUUAGGUAGGAAUACCCGCUGAACUUAAGCAUAUCAAUAAGCGGAGGAAAAGAAACCAACAGGGAUUGCCCUAGUAACGGCGAGUGAAGCGGCAACAGCUCAAAUUUGAAAUCUGGCCCUCGCGGUCCGAGUUGUAAUUUGUAGAGGAUGCUUUAGGCGCGGCGCCUUCCGAGUUCCCUGGAACGGGACGCCGGAGAGGGUGAGAGCCCCGUACGGUUGGACGCCUAGCCUGCGUAUAGCUCCUUCGACGAGUCGAGUAGUUUGGGAAUGCUGCUCUAAACGGGAGGUAAAUUUCUUCUAAAGCUAAAUACCGGCCAGAGACCGAUAGCGCACAAGUAGAGUGAUCGAAAGAUGAAAAGCACUUUGAAAAGAGGGUUAAAUAGCACGUGAAAUUGUUGAAAGGGAAGCGUUUGCGACCAGACCUUUUCCGGGGGGAUCAGCCGGCGUUCUCGACGGUGCACUCCCUCCGGUUUAGGCCAGCAUCGGUUCCCUUAGGGGGAUAAAGGCCUGGGGAAAGUAGCUCCUCAGGGAGUGUUAUAGCCCCUCGCGUAAUACCCCUCGGGGGACCGAGGACCGCG